AGUGAACGCUGGCGGUAGGCCUAACACAUGCAAGUCGAACGGCAGCACAGUAAGAGCUUGCUCUUACGGGUGGCGAGUGGCGGACGGGUGAGGAAUACAUCGGAAUCUACUUUUUCGUGGGGGAUAACGUAGGGAAACUUACGCUAAUACCGCAUACGACCUACGGGUGAAAGCAGGGGAUCUUCGGACCUUGCGCGAUUGAAUGAGCCGAUGUCGGAUUAGCUAGUUGGCGGGGUAAAGGCCCACCAAGGCGACGAUCCGUAGCUGGUCUGAGAGGAUGAUCAGCCACACUGGAACUGGGACACGGUCCAGACUCCUACGGGAGGCAGCAGUGGGGGAUAUUGGACAAUGGGCGCAAGCCUGAUCCAGCCAUACCGCGUGGGUGAAGAAGGCCUUCGGGUUGUAAAGCCCUUUUGUUGGGAAAGAAAAGCAGCAGGUUAAUACCCCGCUGUUCUGACGGUACCCAAAGAAUAAGCACCGGCUAACUUCGU
rnacentral:rRNA from 1 species